CUCAUUAAAUCAGUUAUGGUUCAUUUGAUCGUACAGUUUACUUGGAUAACUGUGGUAAUUCUAGAGCUAAUACAUGCGAGAAGCGCCGACCUCGCGGGAGGCGUGCAUUUAUCAGACCAAAAACCGGCCGCGUCUUCGGGCGCGUUCGCCUUGGUGACUCUGGAUAACUUUGCGGAUCGCACGGUCUAGCACCGGCGACGGAUCAUUCAAGUGUCUGCCCUAUCAACUUUCGUCGGUACGGUAUUUGCCUACCGAGGUUCUUACGGGUGACGGGGAAUCAGGGUUCGAUUCCGGAGAGGGAGCCUGAGAAACGGCUACCACAUCCAAGGAAGGCAGCAGGCGCGCAAAUUACCCAUUCCCGACGCGGGGAGGUAGUGACGAAAAAUAACAAUGCAGGACUCGUUCGAGGCCCUGUAAUUGGAAUGAGUACACUUUAAAAGCUUUAACGAGUAUCCAUUGGAGGGCAAGUCUGGUGCCAGCAGCCGCGGUAAUUCCAGCUCCAAAAGUAUAUAUUUAAGUUGUUGCGGUUAAAAAGCUCGUAGUUGGAUUUUGGGCGCAGGCGGCCGGUCCGUCGCAAGGCGUGUACUGGACGUCCUGGCCUUCCCUCCGGUUCUCCGCCGGUGCUCUUGACUGAGUGUCGGCGGCGGCCGGAACGUUUACUUUGAGAAAAUUAGAGUGUUCAAAGCAGGCUCUCGAGCCUGGAUAAUGGUGCAUGGAAUAAUGGAAU
rnacentral:ncRNA from 1 species